rnacentral:tRNA from 1 species
AUUUGAAUAGCUUAAUAAGAGCAUAGCAUUGAAGAUGCUAAGGUAAUUUUGAUUUUCAAAUA